rnacentral:tRNA from 1 species
GGGGAUGUAGCUCAGUUGGUAGAGUGCUUGCCUUGCAUGCACAAGGCCCUGGGUUCAAACCCCAGCACCACCA